rnacentral:rRNA from 1 species
ACGUAGGGUGCAAGCGUUAAUCGGAAUUACUGGGCGUAAAGCGUACGCAGGCGGCUUUGCAAGACAGGUGUGAAAUCCCCGGGCCUAACCUGGGAACUGCAUUUGUGACUGCAUGGCUAGAGUUUGUCAGAGGGGGGUGGAAUUCCACGUGUAGCAGUGAAAUGCGUAGAUAUGUGGAGGAACACCGAUGGCGAAGGCAGCCCCCUGGGAUGUGACUGACGCUCAUGUACGAAAGCGUGGGGAGCAAACAG